GACGAACUCUGGCGGCGUGCCUAACACAUGCAAGUCGAACGGAGAUAAAGAUUUCGGUUUUUAUCUUAGUGGCGCACGGGUGAGUAACACGUGAAUAACCUGACCCAAAGAGGGGGAUAACACCUGGAAACAGGUGCUAAUACCGCAUAAGACCACAAUGUCGCAUGACGAAGGGGUCAAAGAAAAUCGCUUUGGGAGGGGUUCGCGUCCCAUUAGGUAGUAGGCGGGGUAACGGCCCACCUAGCCGACGAUGGGUAGCCGAGCUGAGAGGCUGAUCGGCCACACUGGAACUGAGACACGGUCCAGACUCCUACGGGAGGCAGCAGUGGGGAAUAUUGGGCAGUGGGCGCAAGCCUGACCCAGCAACGCCGCGUGAGGGAAGAAGGUUUUCGGAUUGUAAACCUCUGUCGCAGAAGACGAAGGAAGUGACGGUAUUCUGUGAGGAAGCCCCGGCUAACUACGUGCCAGCAGCCGCGGUAAUACGUAGGGGGCGAGCGUUGUCCGGAAUUACUGGGCGUAAAGGGAGCGUAGGCGGUCUGAUAAGUUGGAUGUGAAAUACCCGGGCUUAACUUGGGGGGUGCAUCCAAUACUGUUGGACUAGAGUACAGGGGAGGAAAGCGGAAUUCCUAGUGUAGCGGUGAAAUGCAUAGAUAUUAGGAGGAACAUCGGUGGCGAAGGCGGCUUUCUGGACUGCAACUGACGCUGAGGCUCGAAAGCGUGGGGAGCAAACAAGAUUAGAUACCCUGGUAGUCCACGCUGUAAACGA
rnacentral:rRNA from 1 species